AGAGUUUGAUCCUGGCUCAGGGUGAACGCUGGCGGCGUGCUUGACACAUGCAAGUCGAACGGUAUGUGGCAACACAUAGAGUGGCGAACGGGUGAGUAACACGUGGGAACGUACCCUACGCAGGGGGAUAACUGACCGAAAGGACAGCUAAUACCGCAUAAGACCGAAAGGUGAAAGGUGCAACUGCACCGGCGAAGGAGCGGCCCGCGGACCAUCAGCUAGUUGGUGGGGUAAGAGCCUACCAAGGCAACGACGGAUAGCCGGCGUGAGAGCGUGGCCGGCCACAAGGACACUGAGAUACGGGUCCUACUCCUACGGGAGGCAGCAGUGCGGAAUUUUAGAUAAUGGAGGCAACUCUGAUCUAGCGACGCCGCGUGCAGGAAGAAGGUCUUCGGAUUGUAAACUGCUGUGGUAAGGGAAAAAUGCCAUGUAGAGUGGAAAGCUACAUGGAGGGAUGGUACUUUACUAGAAAGCCCCGGCUAACUACGUGCCAGCAGCCGCGGUAAUACGUAGGGGGCGAGCGUUACCCGGAAUCACUGGGCGUAAAGGGAGCGUAGGUGGCCUGACAUGUCAACUGUGAAAACCCGGAGCUCAACUCCGGACUUGCAGUUGAAACUGCCAGGCUUGAGGACGGUAGAGGAAGACGGAACUGCCAGUGUAGGGGUAAAAUCCUUAGAUAUUGGCAGAACGCCGGUGACGAAAGUGGUUUUCUGGGCCGGUUCUGACACUGAUGCUCGAAAGCCAGGGGAGCGAACGGGAUUAGAUACCCCGGUAGUCCUGGCCCUAAACGAUGUUCACUAGUGUGGGGGAGCGGAAAGCUUUCCGUGCUAAAGCUAACGCAAUAAGUGAACCGCCUGGGGAGUACGCCCGCNNGUGAAACUCANNNAUUGACGGGGGCCGCACAGNGGGUGGAGCGUGGNGUUUAAUUCGAUGCUAGCGAAG
rnacentral:rRNA from 1 species